AAGAAGAAGCGCUAAUCUAAAAAGGAAAACAAUUAGAGAUAAAACCUAAAAGAAACAAAACUCAAUUCUCUCUCUCACGGCGAUCUCGUCGACCUUCAUCUUCAUAAUACGUCUUUGAGCCUCCCUCUCUGCAUCUCCCAUCUUUGAAGCUCUGAUCUCUGCAGGAAAGAGUCUGGAGCAUUUCUAAAAUUUAGCUCAAGUUCAAGAUCUUAAGGUUAGACAACAAUUUGAUCCUCAAAUUGUUGAUAGAAGACAGAGCCCCAAAAUUAGUCAGUGUCAUCACCAGGUGAGUUAUAUUCUCUUAUUUUUUAUAUGUAUAAUAUAUACUCUAUGCUAAUUUGUAUGUGUAUUGAUAAUGUAUACGAGUUUGAUUAUGCACAAGAACCCUAGAUACAUUCCCGGCUUGUGCGUAGGCUAGCGUAGAUGGUGACCGGAUGAAAUUUAAUUUUGAUUGCUUGAUCAUGAGAAUUUUGAAUGUUUUGACUUUUGUUUUUGAUGAUUGAGUGCAAAGGUUCUUGGAGUAAAAUCGGGCUACAUCAAGGGUUGUGGUUUUGGCCCUAGGCCUCCACCAUCUAGUACUUCUCGAUCGUCACUAGAUGAAAUGUCUGAGAAGAAUAAAGAGUUAGAAGAUAAACUUGAAGAGACCCAAGAUACUAUAAAGGCUCUACAAGAAAAGAUUGAUGCACAAAACGUGUUGAUCCAAGAAUUGCAGGAGCAAGGCAAAAAGUUUGAGCAGUUCAUGGCAACCUUUAUGAACCAACAAGCAUCGAGUUAGUUAUGCAUAUCUAGGAUUUAGUAUCAGUUAAACAAGUUCAUUGAUUUUUGGAUCAUUUUUAGUUCAGUAUUGACUUUAGACUAUUCCAAUUUGUAGUUAUAGUAGACAACAUUAUGAAUUAUUAUUUUGUUUAUUGUUUAACUAGUUUUGAAUAAGAAUCCUCUUUUUAGAAUAAAAUAAUAUGUAUCGCUGGCAGGUCGUAUCGUAAUAAGAAGAUAACUGCAACAAAAAUAAAUUUCCUCGCUAUAGAUUAAAAUCAAUAACGACAAAAAUAAAUUUUCUCACUAUAGACUGUAGAUCCUACAUUGACGGAAAACACAUUCCUCGUUGAGUAUCUUUAUCGAGAAAAUUUUUUCUUCUUGAAAAGAUACAUAUUACAAUGAAACAAAAUUUCCUCGCUGAAAUAAGUUUAUAGAGAGGAAAAACUUCCUCGCCCAAAGCUAUUUAUAACGACGAAAAUAUUUUUCUCCCAAAAACCGUAGUCCCU